rnacentral:tRNA from 1 species
GAGAGAGGCUCGCAGCAACGAAGACUGCUAAUCCUCGUAACCUGGGUUGGACUCCCAUGCUCACUCG